rnacentral:rRNA from 1 species
GACGAACGCUGGCGGCGUGCCUAAUACAUGCAAGUAGACCUGAGUUGCGAACGGGUGAGUAACGCGUAGGAACAUGGCUCAUAGCGGGGGAUAACUAUUGGAAACGAUUGCUAAUACCGCAUACUGUGAGAUGGACCUGCGUUGUAUUAGCGAGUGGGAGGGGUAAAGGCUAACAAAGGCGACGAUACAUAGCCGACCUGAGAGGAUGACCAGUCACACGGGAACUGUGACACGGUCCCGACUCCUACGGGAGGCAGCAGUGGGGAAUAUUGGACAAUGGGCGAAAGCCUGAUCCAGCCAUGCCGCGUGUGUGAAGAAGGUCUUCGGAUUGUAAAGCACUUUAAGUUGGGAGGCGUUACCAGCAGAAUAAGCACCGGCUAACUUCGUGCCAGCAGCCGCGGUAAUAC